UACGGAGGAUGCAAGCGUUAUCCGGAAUGAUUGGGCGUAAAGCGUCCGCAGGUGGCUGUGUAAGUCUGCUGUCAAAGAGCAAAGCUCAACUUUGUAAAGGCAGUGGAAACUACACGGCUAGAGUGCGUUCGGGGCAGAGGGAAUUCCUGGUGUAGCGGUGAAGUGCGUAGAGAUCAGGAAGAACACCGGUGGCGAAGGCGCUCUGCUAGGCCGCAACUGACACUGAGGGACGAAAGCUAGGGGAGCGAAUGGG
rnacentral:rRNA from 1 species